rnacentral:lncRNA from 1 species
UUGGUUUCUAGGCACUUGUAACUUUAAGGAAUAAACAACAACAAAAAUCCAAUAUUUCCAGCAGGAAGAUGGCCAUCACUUCAAAUUUGCCUUCAAAAUUUUACAAGAACAACAUUAUUUGAUUGAAUCUAAUUUGUAUUCAGAACCAUAUGGGGAAGAGGAUCUAAAAAAAAUGGAGUCUCGCUCUGUAGCCCAGGCUGGAGUGAAGUGGCGCGAUCUUGGCUCACUGCAAGCUCCGCCUCCCGGGUUCACACCAUUAUCCUGCCUCAGCCUCCCAAGUAGCUGGGACUACAGGGACCCGCCACCAUGCCCGGCUAAUUUUUUGUAUUUUUAGUACAGACGGGGUUUCACUGUGUUAGCCAGGAUGGUCUUGAUCUCCUGACCUCGUGAUCCGCCCGCCCAGGCCUCCCAAAGUGCUGGGAUUACAAGCGCCAGCCACCAGGCCCGGCCUAUUCAUUCUUAUAAAAGUCUCCCUCCUACUCCUUGUGUCCCCAUACCCCACACAAAUAUUCUUAUGAUUUAGAAGAGUGAAAUGAUGGUCACCAAAUGUAAUCAAUGUUUAUUUUGGAAUGACAGCAUAGUGGCUGUUUUAAUGCACUCCAUUUGUGUGUGCUUUUCUUAAUUACCAAUUUUUUUUUAAAAGGACUAUUUCAAAAAAUAAAUGUAUUAACAUUAUAAAAGAAAGGAAAAAAUUAAACAAAAAGAAACCUUAUUCACUGCACAUAGCUUUAACUUCAUUAUGCAUGCAAGUUAUUAUUUAAUCUAGAAACACUAUAAAAUUUUAUACUUACUUUCCUUUGAUUAUUCUGAUCUUGUGUGGAAUAUUAUUUCCACCCCCACUCUGAACUCAGUCUAGAAAAGUUCUAUUCAUUACUCAAAGCCCAGAUUCAGUUUAUUCCUCCUUCCUUUAUCAUCUUCCCAAACUACUAUUUUCUCCCAAGUUAUUAGUCAUCUGUGUUAUCAUGGUUCUUUUGCAUAUCUCCUUUUUAAUACUUAUAUCACCGUAUAAAUUGUUUUUUUCUUUGGGGGCUACUAGAGAAUAGGGAUUACUUUAUUCAUCAUUGUAUCUUUAAUACUUGGACUGAGAUAUGGUAAAUACUUGGUAAGUAACUUCUGAUAAAUUAUAAUAUGAGAGAGAAACAAGUAAAUCAACACAUGUAAUACAGCGGAGUAUGUGCAAUGUUGACAUUACACAGAGAAGAAUGGAAGAGAAAUCCUAACUCCUCCUGGAAAGAAAACAGUUAGAGAAAGCUUUGGAAAAAUAUUGGCGUAAGUUCUGAAAGCACAGGAGUCACUAGAGUAAUACACUGUAAAAAAGUGAAAAUUUAGAAAAAAAAAAGUCAUAUAAAAAAUACACAUAGAAGAGAGUAUGAUCAUCAAAAUACUUGUGAAAAGUUUCUCGGUUUAGCUGAUGGUUGGAUCACAUACGAAAAAGUGUAAAAAGAAGUUGUAGAGACAGGCAAAGCCUAGGUGGGGAAAUGCCUGCUUAUAUCAUGGAAGGUCAUCAUUUUUUUUCUGAAAGCAAUUAAAAUCUAUUGAAGACUUUAAUUGAAAAAGCUGUAUGUUAAGAUAUGCUCUUCAGAAAAUAUUUAUUAAAAACUGCAACAUACUCAUACACGAAAUGAAUAUGUAUAUAUUCAGCUCAUAAAUGUAUUUUUUUAUGUAGCUUAUUAAUUGAUUUGUUAAAUGACAACUGUGUGCUAAAGACAGAAAGUGAAAAAUGAUUUGAGAAAUGACCAUAAAUGUGCUUUCUGGUUUGUAAAAGGCUUUAAAAAGAAAACUGUACUUUUGUUAUCCUGAUAAAAGCAUUAGGACUCCAUCGUAUUUUUUGUGGCUUCAUGAACAUUUGGAAUUCUAAGAUAAGAAAGAGAAGAUAGCUUUAGCUUGAUCUGAAACAUUAUAGAACAUUUUGUAUAAG